rnacentral:pre_miRNA from 1 species
AAUCCGAGCUUCGGCCUGUGACACGGGACGAAGUUGUCACUAGACCGAGCAGGGGUUCA